GUGCCGCUCCGCCGCUCGCUCCAGCGCAGGAAAUGCGCAAAAGACGUCAGUGUGUGUGUGUGCGUGCGUGUGCGAGUGUGUGCGCUGCGAGGGUGCGGAGGCAGCCCCUUCUGUGCGUGCGUGUGUGAGUGUGAGUCUGUGAGUAGAAAGUUUUGCCUGUUGGGGGAGCAGUGCGGCCGCAGCCAGCCGGGAAACCGCGUCUCGGGUCGCGACUCCCGCGGGCCGCUCUCACCACUCCUACACACCCGCCGCCGGGCGGCUUUCCGCGGGAGCCUCUGCCUUCCCCCUCCUCGACCUCCUCCUGCCUCUUCCUCACAGGAUAGUGGGUUUCCUGUCCCUUACUCUCUGUGACGGCACGGACCCCAGGAUCUUUCUGCGCACCCCGGUCCGCACUGGCAAGCAACGAGUCCGCAGCUGUCCCCGCCGUCUCGGGACCACUGCCUGACGGCGCCGCCGUCCGCCACCCAUCCACCACCCCCCCUAGCUGCCCCCGCCCUGCCGCCGCCGCGGCUGCAGAGACAACGCUACGUCAGCUGGGGCCGGGUCGGAGGAAGAGUUUCCCCGCUGUGUGCGAGCCCCGGGAAGUGCAGUCCGCCGACACGGGAAGCGGCCUCCCGGGGCCCGCCCCGCCCGUGUCUGCCCUAUCCCCGGCCGGCGGACGCUGCCCAGGGUGACAGUCCGGCCGGGCCCGAUGGUGCCGGGGCAAAAAAUGGCUCUUGAACGCCAAUCUCUCCGUGGCGGUGUGUCUCUGCCAGUCCCUUUGUUUGCGGGGUGUCAUCUGGCCCUGCACAGCCGGCCUGUGUGUGCCCCACUGCAGCCCCUCGCAGCUCAGUAUCGCUUCACUGUCUCUGGCUUUGAGCUGGCAUCGACUGGGAGACACCAUGGGGAGUCGGCACAGCCCUAUGUGGGUACUGAAAUGGGGGGAAAAAAUCUGCUGAAAGGCUGAAAGAGUGUACUGACUAUGUUAGUGAACAUUAUUGACACGUCAAGUAAUAGUUGAAUUUCACCACCGUGGUACCAAAUACUGUACUGAAUAACUGGGGAAGUAUGUGCAGCCCGGAUUCUCCACAGAACGAAUGUACUCAAGAUCUAAAUGGUUUCCUUUGGUGAAAAUUAUUGCUGCCUUAUUUAUUUUUAGCUACUGUUUUUGCCAAUCUUUUGUGAGAAAGACCCUAGAAAAGGGAUGGAAUUUGCCCUUUAGUGGGAUCGGAACUCACUGUGAUUUCACUAGAGAAACCAAGAGGCAGCACUGGCACCCAGGAGGGUGGCUGAGGUGCUUCAAAAACACAGUCAGCAUAAAAGGAAGAAACUCAAUUGCUUGGGCCCAUUGAGUAGGACAUAAAAGAUCACAUCCAGUCUUUAAUCUGGACCUGAUACUCCUGACUGGAAAGCAAAGAACAGAUAAUUAUGGGUUUCUACAUGUAAUGGCUCGGGAGGCAGGUGUUAUAUUUGAAGAUGAUGAAAUAGCUCCAGUAUCUUUGCUUCCAGAUAGAAGAUACAGUACUAAUGAAGCCUAAGUCUGAUGAGAGCAUUCACAUUAACGAAAGAAAGAUUUUUUGGCAUCUGUUGCCACUUAAUCUACUAGUCAAAGUAGAAGUACGGUAAAAUCUCCAUGUUCUUCGUCAUCUUGACAAUCUCCAUGCAGAAUUGGUUGAUACAAAGCUGUGGUAUAUAGCAAAUUAUAAGAAAUGUCUUCCUUUGCAAUUGUGGGUUGGGAACUUCCUCUCCGCCAAUUAAAAUUCACCAGAGCAGCUCAGAUGGCUUGGAAGUAAGAUAAAGCUAUAUUUACAGCAAAGCUAAAUUUGCAAGCAUAUACACAAAACAUGUUUGCAUGUAUUUACAAUUAUGUACAAUUUAGAAAUAAUACAGAAAUCCAAACUUCCCCUUCCCCAGGACAAAGAAAAAGUCCAGAAGGGGCCAACACCUCUCUCUCUCUUCCAGAUAGAAACCAACCAGCAAAGCUCAUGUGUUAUCUGGUCAGUCAAGGUUAGUGGAAGAGAUUAGAGUGGAGCAAAGUGAACAGAUCCAGUACCCCAAAGCAAAGAAGAAAGAAUUGUUUAUAAUUUGGCUUUCUAUACCCUUUAGCAAACCAAUGAGUGAUAUAGACUUUGUCACUAUUAUUCUUGCACAACCAAUGAUCUAAUUUCUCUUAUUAGAAUAUUCCAAUAAGCCUUAAACCACUACAGCAAUUCAGCAUUUCCUGGGCUCACAGCAGCUGUGACACAUCUUUUGCCGUAUUUCUCUGAAGAACCCUACUCAAAGGCUCCACCAUGAAUUGAUGAACCACCUUUUCCUUUCCUCCCACCCCCAUUCACAACCUACCAUCUGUAGUAUUAUACGUUAAGCUACAAGGUCUUACAUUUACUGUGUCAGAAAUAACACUGUAAUUAAAUCUUUCCUCUGGAUGUUUGCUGUUUCUCAGUAAAGGCAACAUAAAUAGUAUGCUACAUUUCCUUAGCUAUAGGGAAACAUAAAAGGCAAUCUGAUAAACACUGUUUAAUUUUUCUGUUUAAGAGACCUGCAACUAUGUGUGUUUCAAAUGCUCAAGGUAAGAUUUAAGUAAACAGUCUCCAUGGUGAGUUUGAUGACCUAGCAUCUCUGUGAGAUCACACAUGCAUAUUACAGAAUUCUGAAUAAAUACAAUAGUAACACAACAUACAAAAAA